rnacentral:rRNA from 1 species
UACGGAGGAUGCAAGCGUUAUCCGGAUUCAUUGGGUUUAAAGGGAGCGUAGGCGGGGCGGUCAGUCAGUGGUGAAAGCCUGCAGCUUAACUGUAGAAUUGCCAUUGAUACUGUCGCUCUUGAAUGCGGUUGAGGCAGGCGGAAUGUGUAAUGUAGCGGUGAAAUGCUUAGAUAUUACACAGAACACCGAUUGCGUAGUCAGCUUGCUAAACCGUGAUUGACGCUGAGGCACGAAAGCGUUGGGAGCAAACAGU